GAAGGGGCGGCAGGCGCCAUGUCCGGCCGCGAAGGUGGCAAGAAGAAGCCCCUGAAGCAGCCCAAGAAGCAGGCUAAGGAGAUGGACGAGAUAAGGCAUUCAAGCAGAGGCAGAAAGAGGAGCAGAAGAAGCUUGAGGAGCUAAAAGCGAAGGCCGCGGGGAAGGGCCCCCUGG